CACAGAGUUAGCCGGUGCUUAUUCUGUCGGUAACGUCAAAACAGCAAAGUAUUAAUUUACUGCCCUUCCUCCCAACUUAAAGUGCUUUACAAUCCGAAGACCUUCUUCACACACGCGGCAUGGCUGGAUCAGGCUUUCGCCCAUUGUCCAAUAUUCCCCACUGCUGCCUCCCGUAGGAGUCUGGACCGUGUCUCAGUUCCAGUGUGACUGAUCAUCCUCUCAGACCAGUUACGGAUCGUCGCCUUGGUGAGCCAUUACCCCACCAACUAGCUAAUCCGACCUAGGCUCAUCUGAUAGCGCAAGGCCCGAAGGUCCCCUGCUUUCUCCCGUAGGACGUAUGCGGUAUUAGCGUCCGUUUCCGAACGUUAUCCCCCACUACCAGGCAGAUUCCUAGGCAUUACUCACCCGUCCGCCGCUCUCAAGAGAAGCAAGCUUCUCUCUACCGCUCGACUUGCAUGUGUUAGGCCUGCCGCCAGCGUUCAAUCUGAGCCAGGAUA
rnacentral:rRNA from 1 species